rnacentral:rRNA from 1 species
GAGAAAGUAAACAAGAGCACACGGGGGAUGCCUAGGCUCUCAGAGGCGACGAAGGACGCGAUAAGCUGCGAUAAGCCGCGGGGAUCGGCACAUACGAAUCGAUCCGCGGAUCUCCGAAUGGGGAAACCUGGCCGGCUGAAGGCCGGCCGCGAUAGCGCAAACCUGCCGAACUGAAACAUCUAAGUAAGCAGAGGAAGAGAAAACAAUAGUGAUUUCCUGAGUAGUGGCGAGCGAAAGGGAAGAAGCCCAAACCCAUAUUGUCAAGGCAAUGUGGGGGUUGUAGGACCACGACAUGAACAACUUAGCCAAGUCGAACGGGAUGGGAAGCCCGGCCAUAGCGCAUGAUAGCUGCGUAGACGUAAACGAUGUUGGGAUAGUGGUAUCCUGAGUACCGCGGGGUCGGAGACGCCCUGUGGGAAUCCGCCAGCACCAUCUGGCAAGGCUAAAUACUCCUGAGAGACCGAUAGUGGACCAGUACCGUGAGGGAAAGGUGAAAAGAACCCCGAACAGGGGAGUGAAAUAGAACCUGAAACCGUGUGCUUACAAGCGGUCGGAGCAGACUUGUUCUGUGACGGCGUGCCUUUUGCAUAAUGAGCCUACGAGUUACUCCUCCCUGGCAAGGUUAAGUGUUUGAGACACGGAGCCGAAGCGAAAGCGAGUCUGAACAGGGCGCACAGUCAGGGGGGGUAGACGCGAAACCUUGUGAUCUACCCAUGGACAGGUUGAAGGUGCCGUAACAGGUACUGGAGGACCGAACCGAUAAACGUUGAAAAGUUUCCGGAUGAUCUGUGGGUAGGGGUGAAAGGCUAAUCAAACUGGGAAAUAGCUCGUACUCCCCGAAAUGUUUUUAGGAACAGCGUGGCGGUUGAGUUUGACAGAGGUAGAGCUACUGAUUGGGUGCGGGGGAGUCAAAUCCUACCAAAUCCAGACAAACUCCGAAUGCUGGUCAAAUAUACGCCGCAGUGAGGCCCGGGGUGCUAAGGUCACGGGCCGAGAGGGAAAGAACCCAGACCAACGGCUAAGGUCCCAAAAUUACCAUUAAGUUGAACUAACGAGGUCCGAUUGCACAGACAGCUAGGAUGUUGGCUUGGAAGCAGCCAUUCAUUUAAAGAGUGCGUAACAGCUCACUAGUCGAGCGGUCGGGCAUGGAUAAUAAACGGGCAUAAAAUGGUAUACCGAAGCCUUGGAUUUGUCCGCCUCUGGCGGAUGAGUGGUAGGGGAGCAUUCCAGUUGCGGCGAAGCCAUACGCGUCAGCGGCGGUGGAGCGGCUGGAAAAGCAAAUGUAGGCAUAAGUAACGAUAAGGCGGGAGAGAAACCCGCCCACCGAAAGACUAAGGUUUCCUGAUCAACGCUAAUCGGAUCAGGGUCAGUCGGGGCCUAAGGUUCACCCGAAAGGGGAAGCCGAUGGACAACUGGUCAACAUUCCAGUACUCUCUAUGGCUGCGAUGGGGCGACGGAGUAGUGACACUGCCGCGGACUGACGGAAUAGUCCGUUGAAGGCCGUAGGUAUUGGCCCGGUAGGCAAAUCCGCCGGGCUAGCUGAAAGCCGAUAGUACCGCAAACCUCCGGGGGCGCGGAUAGCGCAGGUAAUCAGACUUCCAAGAAAACCCCCUAAGCUUCAGGCCAUAGGGACCCGUACCGUAAACCGACACAGGUAGUCGAGGAGAGGAUCCUAAGGUGCUCGAGUGAAUCAUGGCUAAGGAACUCGGCAAAAUGGCCCUGUAACUUCGGGAGAAGGGGCGCCCCGCGGUAAGACGCGGGGCCGCAGUGAAAAGGCCCAGGCGACUGUUUAACAAAAACACAUGGCUUUGCGAAAUCGAGAGAUGAUGUAUAAGGCCUGACACCUGCCCGGUGCCGGAAGGUUAAGAGGGGACGUCAUCCGCCGCAAGGCGGAGAAGCGUUGAAUCGAAGCCCCGGUAAACGGCGGCCGUAACUAUAACGGUCCUAAGGUAGCGAAAUUCCUUGUCGGGUAAGUUCCGACCUGCACGAAUGGUGUAACGAUCUGGGCGCUGUCUCGGCCAUGAGCUCGGUGAAAUUGUGGUCCCGGUGAAGACGCCGGGUACCCGCAACGGGACGGAAAGACCCCAUGAACCUUCACUACAGUUUAACAUUGACAUUGGGUACAGGAUGUGUAGGAUAGGUGGGAGGCAUCGAAGCGGCGUCGCCAGGCGCCGUGGAGCCGACGUUGAAAUACCACCCUUUCUGUAUCCGGUGUCUAAUCCGCCCAGGGCGGAGACAUUGUUUGAUGGGUAGUUUGACUGGGGUGGUCGCCUCCAAAAGUGUAACGGAGGCUUUCAAAGGUAUGCUCAGUACGCUUGGUAACCGUACGGGGAGUGCAAUAGCAUAAGCAUGCUUGACUGUGGGGCCCACGAGCCGAGCAGGGUCGAAAGACGGAUAUAGUGAUCCGGUGGUUCUGCAUGGAAGGGCCAUCGCUCAAAGGAUAAAAGGUACUCUGGGGAUAACAGGCUGAUCUCCCCCAAGAGCUCAUAUCGACGGGGAGGUUUGGCACCUCGAUGUCGGCUCGUCACAUCCUGGGGCUGGAGAAGGUCCCAAGGGUUCGGCUGUUCGCCGAUUAAAGUGGCACGCGAGCUGGGUUCAGAACGUCGCGAGACAGUUCGGUCCCUAUCUGUUGUGGGCGUGGGAGAUUUGAGUGGGGCUGACCUUAGUACGAGAGGACCGGGUUGGACCGACCGCUGGUGAACCUGUUGUCCCGCCAGGGGCACUGCAGGGUAGCUAUGUCGGGGACAGAUAAGCGCUGAAAGCAUCUAAGUGCGAAACUGGCCACGAGAUGAGAUCUCCAUAUAGGGCCGUAGGAGACUACUACGUCGAUAGGCCGCAGGUGUAAAGGUGGCGACACCAAAGCCGAGCGGUACUAAUUGUCCGAUACUUUCCGGG